UUUUGGAAGGAUUACUCAGUGGCGAAGGGCGGNCCCCCNUGGCACAAUNACNUGNACGCUCAGGUGCGAAAGCGUNGGGGAGCAAACAGUUAUUNAGAUACCCUGGUAGUCCACGCCGUAAACGAUGUCUACNUAGCUGUUCGUGGUCUUGUACUGUGAGUAGCGCAGCUAACGCACUAAGUAGACCGCCUNGGGGAGUACGGUCGCAAGAUUAAAACUCAAAUGAAUUGACGGGGGCCCGCACAAGCGGUGGAGCAUGUGGUUUAAUUCGACGCAACGCGAAGAACCUUACCUACUCUUGACAUCUAGCGAAGAUUGCAGAGAUGCAGUUGUGCCUUCGGGAACGCUAAGACAGGUGCUGCAUGGCUGUCGUCAGCUCGUGUUGUGAAAUGUUGGGUUAAGUCCCGCAACGAGCGCAACCCUUAUCCUUAGUUGCCAGCACGUAAUGGUGGGAACUCUAGGGAGACUGCCGGUGAUAAACCGGAGGAAGGUGGGGACGACGUCAAGUCAUCAUGGCCCUUACGAGUAGGGCUACACACGUGCUACAAUGGUACGUACAGAGGGAGGCAAGCUGGCGACAGUGAGCGGAUCUCUUAAAGCGUAUCGUAGUCCGGAUCGCAGUCUGCAACUCGACUGCGUGAAGUCGGAAUCGCUAGUAAUCGCAAAUCAGAAUGUUGCGGUGAAUACGUUCCCGGGCCUUGUACACACCGCCCGUCACACCAUGGGAGUGGGUUGCAAAAGAAGUAGGUAGCUUAACCNUUCGGGAGGGCGCUUACCACUUUGUGAUUCAUGACUGGGGNUGAAGUCGUAACAAGAAUCGAAUUCCCCNCUGCCGUUCNUNG
rnacentral:rRNA from 1 species